GCUUAACACAUGCAAGUCGAGGGGUAGAGGCUUUCGGCCCUUGAGACCGGCGCACGGGUGCGUAACGCGUAUGCAAUCUGCCUUUCACAGAGGGAUAGCCCAGAGAAAUUUGGAUUAAUACCUCAUAGCAUCAUAGGAGGGCAUCCUUUUAUGAUUAAAGUCACAACGGUGAAAGAUGAGCAUGCGUCCCAUUAGCUAGUUGGCAAGGUAACGGCUUACCAAGGCUACGAUGGGUAGGGGUCCUGAGAGGGAGAUCCCCCACACUGGUACUGAGACACGGACCAGACUCCUACGGGAGGCAGCAGUGAGGAAUAUUGGUCAAUGGGCGCAAGCCUGAACCAGCCAUGCCGCGUGCAGGAUGACGGUCCUAUGGAUUGUAAACUGCUUUUGUACGGGAAGAAACACUCCCUCGUGAGGGAGCU
rnacentral:rRNA from 1 species